ACAAUUUUAGUUUAGCGGAAGCAAAAUUUCCAGUUGACAUAUAUUCCAGUUAUAUAAGAGUUCACACUAUUAAAUAUUUAGCAACAUUAUCAGUAUUGUUAAUUAUGAUAAAUACAUCUAUAAAUAAACCAAUACAAACCAUAUUAUGUUAAAAAAAAUAGAAACUACAAUAUUGUAAAAAAAUAAGUACAGAAAGUUAGUAUAAUAUUUUUAUUUAAUGCACCGGUUCUAAACAUGUUUGGACCAGCUCUUUGUCUAAUGAAUGUGGGUUGAGCAAUUUGGAGCGACCGCAAUGUAAAAGGGUUCAACAAUAAAUUUAUGUAUCGUAACAUUAUCUUCACGCGUCUUCAUAGUCAUACUAGUAAUUGGGUUAAGGUGGGAGAAAAGUGUUAUUAUUUAGUUCUCAAAUAUUUUGAUUAUUAUAUAGCAAAAAACAUUUGUGUAAUGUCAGUAGUCUUUUUGUUCCUUUUUGUCGCCCUCGGGUAUGUAUGUGUUUUUCAACUCAUUUUAAAAAAAAUAAGAGUGAAAAUAAAAAUAAACAACUUAAUUGGCACACCAUGUAUCCAUGUUCUGCUGGUGUGGUAAGGUUAGGCUUUCUUUUCUGCCCCGAUCUAUAUUGUAGCCAGUAGAGUCACUUAUACUUACGUUGCUAAAACAUGUCUCAUAGAGCACUCAAUUUUUUCUUUCCACGUACGAUAAUAGCCGAGCGACAACGCGUCACCAAACUCAGAUCACUACCGACUAUCGCAGUCACCAUCAACCCAUUUCCACCACCACCUUCGUUAAUUCAAGCGUCCACCGACUCGAUUGGGCCUCCAACGUCUCCACUGUCAAGCUAAAGUUCGCCGUCGUUUUUGAGCACCAUCGCAUUCCAACCUUUGCAACACAUCCUCAAUAUCUUAUAGCUCCCUUCUAGAGUUCUGUGUUGCCUCCGGUCACUUUCCCAACCGAUUUAUGUCGACUUUUGCUGACGUAGUCACCAACAUGAUCCGUUGCAGCCUUCCGCGAGCCCCUUCACCGCCAUGGUUACAAGGUGCCCACAUGCAAGAUGUCAACACACGUACAAUGUUCAUCACUAAGAAUGGCAAUUUUACCCAUGUGUAUGAGUACCCACGGAUAUCAUACCCCGUGUGGCCAAGGUAUGGAAAUAAUUUUAUAACAUGAAUAGUACAUGUACCAUACCCGUUAAGUCAUGGGUAGGACAUGAGUAUAUCUUUAAACCCAUGGAUACCUAUACCCUAUCCGUUUAUACUGACAUGUGGACUUUAUCCAUGAAGUGUUUAAUGAGAUUGUGAACCAAUGAUAAAGUUGUCGC
rnacentral:lncRNA from 1 species